CACACACUUUCAUAUCACUGAGACUACAUAUCUCAAGUCAAGACCCUCUUCUUCCAUGCCUCAACUUCUCUCUAUCGUAACAAUAGAGGCUAAAAGCAAUAGAUUUGAGUGAAGCUUUGGGUCUUUAUCGUCGUCGGCGACAAACGGUGGAGUAUUGAAGCUUGAAUAAGCUUGAUCCUAAUUAAAGUUGACAAGUGAAGAAGCAUCUGAAAGAAAGUAAGAUACUUAUUGAGUACAUCAUUUACUACAAGGUUCAAAACGUCAAUACAGAUUGACCGAUCUUAUCCACAAUGAUCAUGGAAGACCGAAAAAUGCUUGUCUCUUUCACCAUGAGUAGUGUAUGGCUCAAAAAUUAGAUCAGAGAAAUUCGGCACGCGGAGACAUAAGGUCGUCGUCAGACAAGCCAAGGUCGGACCGUCAUCAACAACCAAGGUCGGACCGCCAUCAAUAGCCAAGGUCGGACCGUCAUCAAUAACCAAGGUCGGACCGUCAUCAAGAGAGUAACACAUCACCUUUGAAUUAUAUUUCUUGUUUCAAAUUACAUAGUGGUGACUCUAUAAGUUUUAAAUUCUCAAACUUGCAUUUUUUGGGGGGCAGUGUCAAACUUGGAUUUACCAGAUCAAAUAUCAUUCCUUGUAUAAUAAUACACCAGUCAACUUAGUAUUGAAACGAAACAGAGUCCAAAUGGAGCAAAAAUAUGGGCAGCCCAACUAGUAUGGGAUCAUAGCAUAGUAGUAUAGUUGUUGCUGUUGAAUAGCAAUACACCAUAAACACCAAAACCCUAGAGAGUCCACUACAGAAGGUUAGGUUCGAAACACCUUGAAACAAAAAAGGCACAAGCUUAGACAAACUAUUUAAGUCCAAAAACCAUCUAAUACUAACAACUGUAAUCAAUUCAGAAAACAAAAACAAACAAAAAAAUAGAAAAAGGAGGGACCUUUUCACGAUCGACUGGUUGGAGGCGGGGAGCAAGCCUAGAGGAAGGUGGACCAAGCGGGCCUCUCGGUGGUGGAGGAGGUAAUGGUCUUCCCCUUCUCUGAACAUCCGCCAUUGCUACUCAACACAACAGGGUUUAAGCAAGUUCUUUUUUCGCUUUGCUCUUUUACUCUUGGGCCUUUUCAUAUAAACCCUUGUUGGGUGGAAAUUUGAGUAUAAAUUCAUUUGACCCGCACAAUUCGUUCAAGCUUGAGCGGUCCUUGGACCCACCUAUUUAUUGAAGGAACUUUUUCAUUCC